UGGGGAAUAUUGGACAAUGGGGGGAACCCUGAUCCAGCCAUGCCGCGUGUGUGAAGAAGGCCUUAUGGUUGUAAAGCACUUUAAGCGAGGAGGAGGGUACUGGUAUUAAUACUACCAGGUACUGGACGUUACUCGCAGAAUAAGCACCGGCUAACUCUGUGCCAGCAGCCGCGGUAAUACAGAGGGUGCGAGCGUUAAUCGGAUUUACUGGGCGUAAAGCGUGCGUAGGCGGCUAAUUGAGUCGGAUGUGAAAUCCCCGAGCUUAACUUGGGAAUUGCAUUGGAUACUGGUUAGCUAGAGUGUGGGAGAGGAUGGUAGAAUUCCAGGUGUAGCGGUGAAAUGCGUAGAGAUCGGGAGGAAUACCGAUGGCGAAGGCAGCCAUCUGGCCUAACACUGACGCUGAGGUACGAAAGCAUGGGGAGCAAACAGG
rnacentral:rRNA from 1 species